rnacentral:rRNA from 1 species
UACGUAGGUGGCGAGCGUUGUCCGGAUUUACUGGGCGUAAAGAGCGCGCAGGCGGUCGUUCAAGUCGCGUGUGAAAGCCCCCGGCUCAACUGGGGAGGGUCACGCGAUACUGAUCGACUCGAAGGCAGGAGAGGGUAGUGGAAUUCCUGGUGUAGCGGUGAAAUGCGCAGAUAUCAGGAGGAACACCAAUGGCGAAGGCAGCUCGCUGGGACGUGACUGACGCUGAGACGCGAAAGCGUGGGGAGCAAACAGG